CUUACUUUAGUUGCAGGACGAUCAAAGUUAACAGCAUAGGAUUGGGAGCUGUAAUGCCUAAUCUUGUAAUGCUGGUGUUGUAUCUACCUUGCUUGGUGCCUUUGGGAAGCAGUUCUAGUGUUCUCAACCUCCGUUUUCUUAUCUAUAAAUGGUCAGAUAAAUAGUUUCUAAAUCAUAUAUUAUUGUGAGAAUUGAGAGAUUUAAUAUAUCAGCACUUUGCAGGCACUAUACAUAUUUGUUAUAAACAUCAUAAUCACCCAAAUUUCUAUGUUCUUGUACUUGUCAUUAACCUAUAUGGCUCCCUACUGUACCUGGUGAUACCAUAUCUCAACUAAUUGGCCAGUAUCUUGCAUUCUCUUGAUAUUUUUCAAGGUCAAUUUUUAUUUAUUUUUAAGUUUUUAGCCAAUCUUUAUUUUUGAAUACUUUUUGAUAUACAGAAAAAUUGCAACAUUAGCACAAGAGUUAUUAUAUAUCUUUCACCCAGCUUCCUCCAGUGUUAACAUGGCACAUAAACUCCAUUUAUCAAAACUAAGAAAUUAGCGUUGAUACAAUAUAUUGACUGGAUUACAGACUUCUUUGGGAUUUCACCAGACUUUCUACUAAUGUCUCUUUUCUAUUCCAGAAAGGAGUCCAGAAUAUUGCCCUGCAGUUUGUACUAUUUUUUUUUCUUCAUGAGCUUUUUAAAAUGGACACCCAUGGUUGGGUAUAACAGUGCUCACGUGCACAGUUUUGUCCAGAAGAAACAAGGUCCAUGGCAUCCUUCAUUAGCUGGUUUGAUGCAUCUCAGAGACAUCGAUCAUCCACUUUCCUCACGAUGACCAAAGUGCACAGAGAGGACAAAAAGUUUCCUUAUUUGAAAGUUGCAUGUUCAGAAGUUAGGGAGCACGUGAGAAUAAACAGAUGGUAGGGAACAGGGCUUCUGUUCAGAAACUCUUGUCAGGCUUGUGGGAUUUGGUCCAGGUUGAUGGCUCACAAAAAAAGAGAGCAAAUGUGGAAACACUCCAGUCUCUUCUGAUUUGUGCAAAAGUUUAUAUAGAGAGACAUUUGUUCAUUUA
rnacentral:lncRNA from 1 species